rnacentral:rRNA from 1 species
AUUGAACGCUGGCGGCAUGCUUUACACAUGCAAGUCGAACGGUAACAGGCCGCAAGGUGCUGACGAGUGGCGAACGGGUGAGUAAUGCAUCGGAACGUGCCCAGUCGUGGGGGAUAACGCAGCGAAAGCUGCGCUAAUACCGCAUACGAUCUAUGGAUGAAAGCGGGGGACCGUAAGGCCUCGCGCGAUUGGAGCGGCCGAUGUCAGAUUAGGUAGUUGGUGGGGUAAAGGCUCACCAAGCCAACGAUCUGUAGCUGGUCUGAGAGGACGACCAGCCACACGGGGCCUGAGACGCGGCCCAGAAUCCUACGGGAGGCAGCAGUGGGGAAUUUUGGACAAUGGGCGCAAGCCUGAUCCAGCAAUGCCGCGUGCAGGAAGAAGGCCUUCGGGUUGUAAACUGCUUUUGUACGGAACGAAACGGCUCUGGUUAAUACCUGGGGAUAAUGACGGUACCGUAAGAAUAAGCACCGGCUAACUACGUGCCAGCCGCCGCGGUAACAC